rnacentral:rRNA from 1 species
GACGAACGCUGGCGGCGUGCUUAACACAUGCAAGUCGAACGGUAAGGCCCUUCGGGGUACACGAGUGGCGAACGGGUGAGUAACACGUGGGUGAUCUGCCCUGCACUUCGGGAUAAGCCUGGGAAACUGGGUCUAAUACCGGAUAGGACUCCUGGCUUCAUGGUUGGGGGUGGAAAGCUUUUGCGGUGUGGGAUGGGCCCGCGGCCUAUCAGCUUGUUGGUGGGGUGAUGGCCUACCAAGGCGACGACGGGUAGCCGGCCUGAGAGGGUGACCGGCCAGACUGGGACUGAGAUACGGCACAGACUCCUACGGGAGGCAGCAGUGGGGAAUAUUGCACAAUGGGCGCAAGCCUGAUGCAGCGACGCCGCGUGAGGGAUGACGGCCUUCGGGUUGUAAACCUCUUUCAGUAGGGACGAAGCGUAAGUGACGGUACCUACAGAAGAAGGACCGGCCAACUACGUGCCAGCCGCCGCAGUAA